rnacentral:rRNA from 1 species
AGAGUUUGAUCAUGGCUCAGGAUGAACGCUAGCGGCAGGCUUAACACAUGCAAGUCGAGGGGUAACGGGGAAGCUUGCUUCCGCCGACGACCGGCGCACGGGUGCGUAACGCGUAUACAAUCUACCUUAUACUGGGGUAUAGCCUUUAGAAAUGAAGAUUAACCCCCCAUAGUCUCUUAGAGUGGCAUCACUUCUAGAGUAAAGGUUACGGUAUAAGAUGAGUAUGCGUUCUAUUAGUUUGUUGGUGUGGUAACGGCACACCAAGACUACGAUAGAUAGGGGCCCUGAGAGGGGGAUCCCCCACACUGGUACUGAGACACGGACCAGACUCCUACGGGAGGCAGCAGUGAGGAAUAUUGGACAAUGGAGGCAACUCUGAUCCAGCCAUGCCGCGUGUAGGAUGACUGCCCUAUGGGUUGUAAACUACUUUUAUACAGGAAGAAACACCUCUACGUGUAGAGGCUUGACGGUACUGUAAGAAUAAGGAUCGGCUAACUCCGUGCCAGCAGCCGCGGUAAUACGGAGGAUCCAAGCGUUAUCCGGAAUCAUUGGGUUUAAAGGGUCCGUAGGUGGAUAAUUAAGUCAGAGGUGAAAUCUUGCAGCUCAACUGUAAAAUUGCCUUUGAUACUGGUUAUCUUGAGUUAUUAUGAAGUAGUUAGAAUAUGUAGUGUAGCGGUGAAAUGCAUAGAUAUUACAUAGAAUACCAAUUGCGAAGGCAGAUUACUAAUAAUCAACUGACACUGAUGGACGAAAGCGUGGGUAGCGAACAGGAUUAGAUACCCUGGUAGUCCACGCCGUAAACGAUGGUUACCAGCUGUUUGGACUUCGGUCUGAGUGGCUAAGCGAAAGUGAUAAGUAACCCACCUGGGGAGUACGUUCGCAAGAAUGAAACUCAAAGGAAUUGACGGGGGCCCGCACAAGCGGUGGAGCAUGUGGUUUAAUUCGAUGAUACGCGAGGAACCUUACCAGGGCUUAAAUGUAAGUUGCAUUAGUUAGAGAUAGCUAUUUCUUCGGACCACUUACAAGGUGCUGCAUGGUUGUCGUCAGCUCGUGCCGUGAGGUGUCAGGUUAAGUCCUAUAACGAGCGCAACCCCUGUUGUUAGUUGCCAGCGAGUCAUGUCGGGAACUCUAACAAGACUGCCAGUGCAAACUGUGAGGAAGGUGGGGAUGACGUCAAAUCAUCACGGCCCUUACGUCCUGGGCUACACACGUGCUACAAUGGUAGGGACAGAGAGCAGCCACUACGCGAGUAGGAGCGAAUCUAUAAACCCUAUCACAGUUCGGAUCGGAGUCUGCAACUCGACUCCGUGAAGCUGGAAUCGCUAGUAAUCGGAUAUCAGCCAUGAUCCGGUGAAUACGUUCCCGGGCCUUGUACACACCGCCCGUCAAGCCAUGGAAGUUGGAAGUGCCUGAAGUCCGUCACCGCAAGGAGCGGCCUAGGGUAAAGUCGAUAACUAGGGCUAAGUCGUAACAAGGUA